rnacentral:rRNA from 1 species
ACAGCAGCCGCCACGGUAAUACAGAGGGUGCGAGCGUUAAUCGGAUUUACUGGGCGUAAAGCGUGCGUAGGCGGCUUCUUAAGUCGGAUGUGAAAUCCCUGAGCUUAACUUAGGAAUUGCAUUCGAUACUGGGAAGCUAGAGUAUGGGAGAGGAUGGUAGAAUUCCAGGUGUAGCGGUGAAAUGCGUAGAGAUCUGGAGGAAUACCGAUGGCGAAGGCAGCCAUCUGGCCUAAUACUGACGCUGAGGUACGAAAGCAUGGGGAGCAAACAGGAUUAGAUACCCGCGUAGUCCCUGUCUCUUAUAC